AACGAACGCUGGCGGCAGGCCUAACACAUGCAAGUCGAACGCGUGUAGCGAUACACGAGUGGCAGACGGGUGAGUAACGCGUGGGAACAUGCCCUUUGGUUUGGAAUAACUCAGGGAAACUUGAGCUAAUACCGGAUACGCCCUGGAGCAAUCUGGGGGAAAGAUUGAUCGCCGAAGGAUUGGCCCGCGUCCGAUUAGCUAGUUGGUGAGGUAACGGCUCACCAAGGCGACGAUCGGAGCUGGUCUGAGAGGAUGAUCAGCCACAUUGGGACUGAGACACGGCCCAAACUCCUACGGGAGGCAGCAGUGGGGAAUAUUGGACAAUGGGCGCAAGCCUGAUCCAGCCAUGCCGCGUGAGUGAUGACGGCCC
rnacentral:rRNA from 1 species